CAAAGGUUUGGUCCUGACUUUACUAUCAACUAUAGCUAAAUUUACACAUGCAAGUAUCCGCGCCCCUGUGAGAAUGCCCUGCGAUCCCUGUAUGGAAUCAAGGAGCUGGUAUCAGGCACACCUAAAUGAAGCCCACGACACCUUGCUAAGCCACACCCUCAAGGGAACCCAGCAGUGAUAGAUAUUAAGCCAUGAGUGAAAACUCGACUUAGUUAGUGCUACCCAGGGUCGGUAAAUCUCGUGCCAGCCACCGCGGUUAUACGAGAGACCCAAGUUGACAAUUAUCGGCGUAAAGAGUGGUUAAGAUAUACCUAUACUAAAGCCAAAUGCCCUCAAAGCUGUUACACGCUCUCGAAGGUAAGAAGCCCGACUACGAAAGUGACUUUACAACAUCUGAACCCACGAAAGCUAGGGCACAAACUGGGAUUAGAUACCCCACUAUGCCUAGCCCUAAACAUUGACAGUAACCUACACCCACUGUCCGCCCGGGAACUACGAGCUUCAGCUUAAAACCCAAAGGACUUGGCGGUGCUUUAGACCCACCUAGAGGAGCCUGUUCUAUAACCGACAACCCCCGUUAAACCUCACCCUUCCUUGUUUUACCCCGCCUAUAUACCACCGUCGUCAGCCUACCCUGUGAAGGCCCUAUAGUAAGCAAAAUUGGCAUAACCCCAAAACGUCAGGUCGAGGUGUAGCGAAUGGAAGGGGAAGAAAUGGGCUACAUUCACUGAUACAGUGAACUACGAAUGAUUACCCUGCAACGAGUGUCUGAAGGAGGAUUUAGCAGUAAGUAAAAAAUAGAGUGUUUUACUGAAAUUGGCCCUGAAGCGUGCACACACCGCCCGUCACCCUCCCCGUGCUAACUUAAACAAGUAACUAAAAUAUUAUACCUGCAAAGGGGAGGCAAGUCGUAACAUGGUAAGUGUACCGGAAGGUGCGCUUGGAAAAACU
rnacentral:ncRNA from 1 species